UUAAAAGUACAAAGCAGUUAUCGCCUAAUACGUAAAUAUGGCUAAUAAAUGAGAAUAACAUCUCAAAUAUACAUAAAUAGUGUUUUUAUAAAUACAUAAUUGGACAAUAAAUGUUGGACAUCUCUUUCUAAUUAGUUGUCAGUGAAAUUAUAUAAACUAUCUUUCAUAAUAGAUAUUUGGGACUAAAUAUCAUGUUUUCAUAUGGAAAAUGCAAAGAAUUUUUGCAUCCAGUAUAUAUUAUCAAAUUGUUAGCUGCUACAAAUAUUCUGUGUAAUUUUUAUCCCAGUACAAUACUGGAUACAAAAGCAUAGAUAUUCUUAAAUAUUCAUAAUAUUAAUGACAAAUUUUUAAUUUACUGGCAAUUAUCCAUAAUACAUAUCCAUAAUACCUAUGUAUUAUUCUCCAACAUAAAGAAGAAACUAAUAACACAUGAAUGUAUUAUGAAUGCAAACAAAUGAUUAUUAAAAGAUUUAGAGGUCAUAGUUCUACAGUAAUAUAUUAGUUUUUGAAGAUACAUGACAGUAAAAUACCUAGAAGGAUUUUAUGUCUAUCAUAGGAACAGAGCAUAAAAUAUUAUUUUAACAAGGAUAUGUUUACAAAAUGCAGGCGUACUCUGUCAACUACUUAGUUUUACCCUUAUGGUACAUAAGAAUGAGAAUAUUUAAAAAAAAAUAAUUUUGCAUUGUUAAAGGAAUGUUGUUUUAAGCGUGUUCUUUUUUUUUUUAUUUGGUGAUAGUAUCAAUGUUACAAUAGAAUAAAUUGUGAAAACUGUAUGAAUAAAAGUCAUAUUUACAAGUGGUUGGUUAUGUACUUUUUACUGUUAUAAUAUUUCAUAUAUUAAGCUUCAAACGAAGCAUUCUUUGAUUUCUUUAUUAAGGAAGAAUAGGAGCAAUAUCUAUUUAUGUUUGUUUGUGUGGAUAAGAGUGUUUAGGAUUAACAACAGUAGUACAAUUAUUCUAUUGAAAACCGAUUUCAUCACUAUAUGUACCAUACGAAACAUUUAUCUUUAAAAGAAAAGGAGGGAUAACGCAUGUACAGGUUAAGUCUCGCAACGUGACGUAACUCGUAAAUUAAUUAUUCGCUGUACAAAAAAAUGUUUCGAGUAAAAGCUGUACGUAUUACCAUGGUACUACUUUCCAGAAUAACAGUAUUGUAAUUGUUUUGUUAUUAUUUGGUUUUUUUUCAUCAAAAUAUGAUGGUCACCUUCAGCAUUUUAGAUAGAAUGCUUAACGUUUCUUCUCGAAUUCGGAUAAAGCAUCAAACUUUACGUAAAAAAGUAUUAUACAUGAUAGAGUCUAAGAUUAAUCAUUAUCGAGAUAUCCUCAAAUUAAUCAUUUUAAAAGAUAUAAAUUGGACAACACAGAGUUCUUGUUGACAUCGUGAAAUCAACCAUCGGUUGUACAUGUAUAUUACUCUGGCUGAGUCACGGGACAUUUAUUAUAGGCAUAGAUAAAUGUUAUUACAAAAGAAAAUCAAUAAUUUUUAAUUGCGUGUAUUAUAAGGGACGCUAAGUUAUAUUAUAUUUUGAAGGUUUUUGUUAAAAACCUAUUUUAUUAAAACUUGUGUUUAAAAUUAGCAAAUGUCUCGUCACUCAUGGCGGGAGUCUAUAGAGAGUAUUUCAAGUAAUCAAGAUGAAACUUCAGGAGUAUGCUGUACUCAUCAAAACAAAGAAAAACAUUUGAAUAAAUAUGGAUUCGAAUAUCAUUAGUAGACUGCGAAUAUUUAUAUAAUUUUAUAUUUUUAUGAACAUAAUUAGAGAAAUGGAAUCUAAAUAGAAAUUUGUUUCGUCUAUUAAGUAUCAUAAUAAGUGCUUCACUUUAAAUAUUUUAUUUUAUGUAUUUUUUCAUGUUAUAUGCAUCCUGUAGUUAUUUGAAAUCUUUCCCUAAAAUCCAUGAACAUCCGCAAUCAUUUCUGAAUUAUAGGACAUUUUUAACUGUAAGUCAGUGACUGCACAAGAAAGUUUAUUGCGUAAAGAAAUUUUCCCGACAUGUAUGCACCUAAUUAGUAAUGUGUUCAGUGUCAUAUAUCAACAACUAUAUCGAACAUUGGAAGGUAAUUUUCGAGAUUGCGAAGAAUUGAUAUCAGCGAUAUCAUAAUCAACUCUCAGAACCUGUCGAAGAAUAGCAUCCCAAGAAGGUUAGUCCGGUCACGAUAUGGAAAACUAUGUACAUGCAUAUAAAUUACCAAUUGUUUCCUUAUCAUAUAACAUUCCUAAAUUGAUGAUAUUCCACUGAUAAAAACCUCUUAUAAUUCCGAUAUUAAAAACAUUCAGAUCCAUGUUUAUUAAGACAUUUUUGCUUCUUUGCUCCUGAAAUUUAACCUUAACCUUUUGGAACACUCUGCAUAUUCUAGCUUGGUCGUUGGAGCAACUAACGCUCAUAUAUUUAACACUUUGACUGCCACGUUGGUCAUAUAUGACCGGCGACCGUUUCUCCUGUGACGCCACGGUGGUCAUUGAUGACCGGAGCGCUUAAACUUCUUACAAUUGUAAAAAUUGAAUGAAAAUUGACAGUUAGGGCAUUUUGAAUAUAACCGAUAAAUAGAAGAUACUUUGAAAUAAAAAGUGCCCCAUUGAACAAUUGAACAUUUUUAUUAGAACAUCGAUAAAAAAAAUGAGAACAAAUCUUGCAUCUAACAAUGCAUUGUGUUUGCAUCCAUAUCUUUAAGGGGUAAUCUACACAUAUUACUGUAAACACACCUUAAAAGAUAAUCGUAAAUGCUGCUUUAUAAUCGUAUAAUUGAAGUUAGAAGUGUGAACAUACCUUACUAUUACAUAUAGAACGAGUAAAUACCGUUUACUAAUAUCUUCUACACGUUUCAACAAUAUAUUCUGGACGUUUUGCUUACGACUAAAUAACGAAUGCGAAUGGUUUGUUGAAAUAAAUGAAGCCUCGUUAUAAUAUGUCGCUAUCAACAGUUACCAAGGCGCCAUGGUGGUCAUCCGUGAUCACCAAUAAGAUAAACGGUCCAUUGGGGAAGAAUGUUGUCUUACAUCAUCGAUUUAUUAUUAUUUUGCCAUUAUAUGCUUUGAAUAAUGAAAAUACUCCCGUGGCGUCCUGAACGAAACAUGUGAUUUCGGCGUGGCAGUUAAAGUGUUGACAGUACCAUAUAUUUUCACACUAGGUGUAAUUGUUUCUGCUUAGAUUUUUCGUUCCUUGCGAGAAACUCGCCCAGUGGUGAACGUGACGAUCCUGCACUUACAGCGUAGAUCAUGUUUAUCACUUAUCCAACUUUCAUCGUAUUUACGCUUUACUUACCUAUUCUGAAUUAAAAUGUUACAGACAGUUAGAUUAAUAUCCGAGCAGAUUUUAAAACAGACUAACUUUUUUAAGAUUGGCCCAAAUAACUCGAACUGUUCUGAGGAGUUGACACUAUAAGCGUCGAAUCCCGGAAUAUUCUAGAGGAUUCUUGGGUUUUUUAGAAUGCGUGAAAAACGCAACGUUUUGAAGGCAGUUUUCACGGGCUAUCGCAUCGUGCAUAUUUUAAUUACUACACACGAAGUUAAUAUUCUGACAGAUUCGCCAAACGAUCUUUAAAUGUAAAUAUUAAUUUGUUUUUGGUUUAACAGACAUCGAUUCAUUCAGCCAGGCUGAACUCUUUAAAGUUUGGUUUAACUCAAAGACCCAGAAAUGAUUAUUAUCUCUAGGUGCCCAGAGAUUAAAUUCACCCCUGCAUACAGGGUGAGUCAUAAAUGCAUCUUCGUACUUCGGCGAUGAAUGUACACACUGAAAUAGGUUUGCGGUGGUGUUAAGGAAUAUCCUUAGUGUAAAACGGAAACUUUGAAUAUUUUCUUUAAUCAUCCAUAACUGAGAAACUAACGUUCGUAGAACAUACGUUAGCGCGAUAUUUUUUCAUUUAUUUCAAUAUAUAAACUCUGG